rnacentral:rRNA from 1 species
GGGCCCGCACAAGCGGUGGAGCAUGUGGUUUAAUUCGAUGAUACGCGAGGAACCUUACCAGGGCUUAAAUGGGAGAUGACAGGGGCAGAGACGCCCUUUUCUUCGGACAUCUUUCAAGGUGCUGCAUGGUUGUCGUCAGCUCGUGCCGUGAGGUGUCAGGUUAAGUCCUAUAACGAGCGCAACCCCUACCGUUAGUUGCCAGCGAUUCAAGUCGGGGACUCUAACGGGACUGCCGGUGCAAACCGUGAGGAAGGUGGGGACGACGUCAAAUCAUCACGGCCCUUACGUCCUGGGCUACACACGUGCUACAAUGGUCGGUACAGAGGGACGCUACCAGGUGACUGGAUGCAAAUCUCAAAAAGCUGUCUCAGUUCGGAUUGUUGUCUGCAACUCGACAACAUG